CAGCAGCCGCGGUAAUACGAAGGGUGCAAGCGUUACUCGGAAUUACUGGGCGUAAAGCGUGCGUAGGUGGUGGUUUAAGUCCGUUGUGAAAGCCCUGGGCUCAACCUGGGAAUUGCAGUGGAUACUGGAUCACUAGAGUGUGGUAGAGGAUAGUGGAAUCUCCGGUGUAGCAGUGAAAUGCGUAGAGAUCGGAAGGAACAUCUGUGGCGAAGGCGACUAUCUGGGCCAACACUGACACUGAGGCACGAAAGCGUGGGGAGCAAACAGGAUUAGAUACCCCAGUAGUCCCUGUCUCUUAUAC
rnacentral:rRNA from 1 species